rnacentral:rRNA from 1 species
AGUCAAUGAUCUAACGAUUGAUCUAGUUACUUAGAAAGAUGAAUUAUUCAUAAAUUAAUAUAUUUUAAUAACCUCCCCCCCGAAGGGGGGGAGGGAUAAAACAUAAUAAUAAUAAAAAGAAUAAUAGUGUUUAAAAAUAAAAUCUUAUUAUAAAUGAUAAUAAUGAUAUUAUUUAUAUAAUAGUCUUAGCAAAAAUUAGUGCCAGCAGCUGCGGUUAAACUAUGGAGGCUAACGUUAAUUAUUAUAGGCUUAAAGGAUCCGUAGUAUGAUAUAUAUAUAUAAAGAUAUAUUAGAGUUUAUAAAUAUGAUUUAAGAAUGAUUAUAGUAAUGAUGAAAUAUAUUAAUAAUAAUCAGACUGUUAAAUGUGAAGACAUAAAUCAAUAAAUAAACUGACAUUGAGGGAUGAAGGCAUUAGUAACAAAAUGGAUUAGAUACCCAAGUAGUUUUUGCAGUAAACAAUGAAUACUAUUUAUUAAUAAUAAAUUAAAUAAAUAAGUGAAAGCGUAAGUAUUCCGCCAGGUGAGUAUAUUCGCAAGAAUGAAAUCCAAAACAAUAGACGGUUACAGGUUAAGGCAGUGGAUUGUGUUAU